rnacentral:rRNA from 1 species
CCCUAGUAACUGCGAGUGAAGCGGGAAAAGCUCAAAUUUAAAAUCUGGUGGUCUUUGGCCAUCCGAGUUGUAAUCUAGAGAAGUGUUACCCGCGUCGGACCGUGUACAAGUCUCCUGGAAUGGAGCGUCAUAGAGGGUGAGAAUCCCGUCUUUGACACGGACCCCCGAUGCUUUGUGGUGCGCUCUCAACGAGUCGAGUUGUUUGGGAAUGCAGCUCAAAAUGGGUGGUAAAUUCCAUCUAAAGCUAAAUAUUGGCGAGAGACCGAUAGCGAACAAGUACCGUGAGGGAAAGAUGAAAAGAACUUUGGAAAGAGAGUUAAACAGUACGUGAAAUUGCUGAAAGGGAAACGCUUGAAGUCAGUCGCGUUGGCCGGAAAUCAGCCUUCCUUUUGGUUGGUGUACUUUCUGGUUGACGGGCCAGCAUCAGUUUUGACCGGUGGAAAAAGUUGUAGGGAAUGUGGCAUCUUCGGGUGUGUUAUAGCCUUGCUUCGUAUACAUCGGUUGGGACUGAGGAACUCAGCACGCCGCAAGGCCGGGGUUCGCCCACGUUCGUGCUUAGGAUGCUGGCAUAAUGGCUUUAAUCGACCCGUCUUGAAACACGGACCAAGGAGUCUAACAUGCCUGCGAGUGUUUGGGUGGAAAACCCGAGCGCGUAAUGAAAGUGAAAGUCGAGAUCCUUGUCAUGGGGAGCAUCGACGCCCGGACCAGACGUUUUCUGACGGUUCUGCGGUAGAGCAUGUAUGUUGGGACCCGAAAGAUGGUGAACUAUGCCUGAAUAGGGUGAAGCCAGAGGAAACUCUGGUGGAGGCUCGUAGCGAUUCUGACGUGCAAAUCGAUCGUCAAAUUUGGGUAUAGGGGCGAAAGACUAAUCGAACCAUCUAGUAGCUGGUCUGCGA